GCAACGCGCCACUAUCACGAUGAGGUUCUGGAAUAAAAAUUCAAAAGUUCCUCAAUUCUAAUCUGAAAAUUUUGAAACUUCCCCAAGACAUGCUCCUUGCACCCCUAAACAUGAAUUAACUCAAAAACCAUAAUCUCGAAGACUGGAAGGUCAACUUAAGAAUCCCUGAAGUAAGGAGGUCUUAAAAUAGCUAAGUCCCCAACAC
rnacentral:lncRNA from 1 species